AUUGAACGCUGGCGGCAGGCUUAACACAUGCAAGUCGAACGGUAACAGGAAACUGCUUGCUGUUUCGCUGACGAGUGGCGGACGGGUGAGUAAUGUCUGGGAAACUGCCUGAUGGAGGGGGAUAACUACUGGAAACGGUAGCUAAUACCGCAUAACGUCGCAAGACCAAAGAGGGGGACCCUCUGGCCUCUUGCCAUCGGAUGCGCCCAGAUGGGAUUAGCUUGUUGGUGGGGUAACGGCUCACCAAGGCGACGAUCCCUAGCUGGUCUGAGAGGAUGACCAGCGACACUGGAAGUGGAACACGGUCCAGGCUCCUACGGGAGGCAGCAGUGGGGAAUGUUGCACAAUGGGCGGAAGCCUGAUGCAGCCAUGCCACGUGUAUGAAGAAGGCCUUCGGGUUGUAAAGUACUUUCAGCGGGGAGGAAGGGAGUAAAGUUGAUACCUUUGCUCAUUGACGUUACCCGGAGAAGAAGCACCGGCUAACUCCGUG
rnacentral:rRNA from 1 species